rnacentral:tRNA from 1 species
AAUUAUGUAAUAUAUAAGUAUAUUUGAUUUCCAAUCAAAAAGAGAUUUAAUUUAUAUAUUUC